rnacentral:lncRNA from 1 species
CGCUUAGUGCCUGACAGACAGUCAGCAUCACCAUCUAGAGCUGGGAAUGCAGUUGAUAUCUGAGUAAAAUGGAAUUCUUUAGAAAAGAAGAAAUGGGCGCUGGGCAAGUAAUAAUCAGGGUCAGAAUAAUCUUAGAAGUCUCGUGCAUGAAACAAUAUAAAACAUUUCAUACCGACCAAGAUGGCUAUUAUCAAAAAAAAAUAGAAAAUAAAAAUAUUGGCAAGGAUUUAGAGAAAUUGGAGCCCUCGUAGAUUACUGAUGGGAGUGUAAAAUGGUGUAGCCAUUGCAGAAUGGUUUAGCAGUUUCUCAAAAAAGUUAAACAUAGAAUUACCAUAGAUCCAGCAAUUCUACUCCUAGGAAUAUACCUAAAAGAACAGAAAGCAAGGGCUUAAAACGAUACUUGAACACUCAUGUUCCUAGUAGCAUUACUCACAAUAGCUAAAAGGUGGAAAUAACUUGUGUCCAUCAGCAGAUGAAUGGAUAAACAAGAUGUGGUAUAUAAUACAAUGUGAUAUUGAACCACAAAAAGUAUUGAAGUUCUGAUACAUGCUGUUUAACAAGGAGGACCCUUGGAGUUCCUGUUGCAGAAAAGCAGUAAGGACCCUAAUAAUUUUUAUGAGGAUUCGUGUUCGCUCACUGGCCUCGCUUAGUGGGUUGAGGAUCCUGCAUUGCCUCAAGUGGCUGUGGUGUAGGUCCCAGAUGCACUUUGGAUCCUGUGUUGCUGUGACUGUGGCAUAAACUGGCAGCUGCAGUUCUGAUUUGACCCAUAGUGUGGGAACUUCCAUAUGCCACACCUGUGGCCCUAAAAUAAAUGUACAUACCUUGAAAACUUUAUGCUAAGUGAAAUAUGCCAGACAUAGAAGGAUACCUGUUCUGUGAUUCUUUUCUUUCUUUUUUUUUUUUUUUUUUUUUCUUUUUUUUUUUUUUUUAUUUUUUUUAAGUGAUUUUUUUUUCCAGUGUUAACUUUUUCUCUUUUUUUUUUUUCUUUUAUGGGGCCCCCCCCCCAGCAUAUGGAUGUUCCCAGGCUAGGGGUCUAAUCAGAGCUGUAGCCGCCAACCUACGCCAGAGCCACAGCAACGCCAGAUCGGAGCAGCAUCUGCGACCUACACCGCAGCUCACGGCAAUACCAGAUCCUUAACCCACUGAGCUAGGCCAGGGAUUGAACCCGCAACCUCAUGGUUCCUAGUCGGAUUCAUUUCCGCUGAGCCACGACGGGAAACUCCAUGAUUCUUAUAUAAAGUGUCCAGAAUAGGCAAAUUCAUGCAUUAGAAAGUAGAAUAGAAUUACCAGGAGCUGGGCAAAAGGGUAAAUAGACAGUUGUUUAUUGGAUACAGAGUUUCUGUUUGGGAUGAUGAAGACAAUUCAGGAAGUAAUGGUGAUACUUACACAACACUGUGAAUAUGCUUAAUGCCACCAAAUUGCACAUUAUAAAUGGUUGCCGUGGCAAAUUUUGUUAUGUAUAUUUGACCACACAAAAGAACUAUGCAUAACCAACUUGAGGUCACAUGUUAGUCACUUUAGGAGCUUGUAAAUAAGCUUCUUCGCUGUCCUCCUUAUCCUGUACACCAAUAAAGGAGGGACCAAAUUUGGAGUAAACAUCUCAUGCCAACUACCAAUGUCUGGUACCAAUUCCCAAAGAACAACUCUCAAAUGUUGGUGUUUAUUCCCCAUUUAAAACAAAAAUGAAACAAACUUGGUUUCUGUAGUCAUAUAAGCUUCUGAUAAACUAAAUUCCGUCAUUCCUAUAAAAUAAAUAUUACCACCAAACAGAGGGGCAACGUAAGCUGCAUCUUUCCAUGAGUUUCUAGUCUUGAUAUUUAUUCUCAAAUUUCUUCAUCAACUUACUGAUAAGUUGGAAGGAAGCCCAGGUAUUGAGGAAAAUCCUGGAUCUCUCUUGCUUUAUUUUCUGAAUGAAAUAAAUAACGUAUAUAGUUCUGAAAUGGAGAUGGACAUGAAAGCCUUAUUUUUGGUUGUAAGAAAACAGGAAAUAACUAAAUGAGUUUUGAUCCUUUAUAUUGGACAUAGGACCUUCUUACCUGCCUGCCUCUGUUUUCAAACAAUUUGGAUGCAGAAAUUCCGAGCUCUUAUAAAUUCUUUUUUUUUUUUUUUUUUUUUUUGUAUUGAAAACCAAAUAAAUGCAUGUUAUAGACUCUUAAAGCACUAAGGGAGGACAAAUAUCUGAUUGAUCUACUCAUUUUAAAGAAUUAGGCACUUGAUGCCUAUGGCUCAGAGCUACUUAUAAUCCCAGUAUCUUGUGAAUGGUUAGUGGUACAACAAAGCCCGGGAUGUGGGUUAUUUGUUCUUUUUAGUUGGAUUUAGUCAAAUAGUCAAAAGAUUAUGACGAGACUGUAUUAAAAAUAUAGAGCUAUAAUAUGAUAACAUCAUACCAACCCUUGGUUUUCAUGCCAGUAUCAUUCUAUAAGAGGAAGGAUGCCUAUUUGGCCAGGGCCUCCAUUCACAGAAGAUCUAGAAUCUUUUUUUUUUUUCUUAAGGGCUGCACCUGUGGCUUAUGGAAGUUCCCAGGCUAGGGGUUAAAUCAGAGCUGUAGCUGCUGGCCUACAUCAGUCACAGCCAUAGCAAUGCCAGAUCCAUCCCCUGUCUGCAACCUACACCACAGCUCAUGACAGUACUGGAUCCUUAACCCUCUGAGCCAGGCCAGGGAUUGAACCCACAACCUCAUGGACACCAGUCGGGUUUGUUUCCACUGAGCCACACCGGAACUCCCUGGAAUCUUAGGUUUAGAUGUUUCUCCUUAAUUUUCUCUGGGGAGUACAAGGAUAUUACCUAAUCUUUUCAGGUUAAAAGUGUCAAUAUGUUAAUAUAGGAAGUAUUUUAAAAACCCCUUUUUGGCAUUUUUUCCACUUUUAAUGUCUCAGAUUCUCAAAGUGGACAUCACUGGAAUCUUUCUGGAGCCCUGAGUGGUCUUGUCUGUAGCUGUUGGCCACAUAGGCAUGUGCUGCUCACUGUGGAGAAGUAUGCUCUGCUGUUUGAUAGCUCUCACUGUCAGAAAUUCCAGCUGUCCAGACCCCAGCCUCCUGACUCAUAAUAGGCUUUCAGAAUCGCUCAGGACUCAAGAGUAACUGAACCAAAUCUAGAAACCGUUAGAAGAAACCAGCACGGCAGAGAAGAGCACAGGUUGUGGAUUAGAGAAGUUUCACUGGAUGAUGCACAGAUUGGCUGUCGAUAUUUUUAAAGGACCUGUGAAACCCGAGAAGCAUUCAAGGGGCGGGGAUGAGGCAGAAGCUACCAAGAAAAGAAAAGCAGAGGAGAAGAAGGAAGAGAGUGGGCGAAGAGGAGCAGCAGAAGUGAAGAAAGAGGACCAGGGAGAGGGAUGGCAGAGAGUGGGCUCUCUGAAGAGAGAACACCCAGAACCCUGAAAAUUAGCAUUCUGUGAGGGAAUAUCAUGCCUCUACAGUGUGGUGUGUGGAUGGGGCAGGGGAGCAGGUAACGGAGAAGGUGCACUGGAACUUCAUCUCAACCAUCAAUCCAAAGCCAUAGCAGCCAUCACACUUCAGCACUUAAUACAAGAUGAACUUGAUGGAAGUGUUAUGGGUUGCAUUUUGAUAGCUUUGUAAUGGAUCAAUCAGACUAAAUUGAAAGAAAAAAAAUCGUCUUUAGUUACCUCAGUUGAAACAAAGCCAUGUACUUUAAAGAAAAAUGCAGAGUGGGAGUGGAUCUUCAAAGCUGUGGGGCUCAAGGCAUCUUUAAAGAUGAAUGUCCUUCCCUUCUGGCCCCUUCCUCUCUAUCCCUCUCUUCUCUCCCCUUCCCCUCCUCCCUCUGUCUCAGCAGACUCUUCACAUCUAAUUUACUCUCUGUUCACCACCAAGUGACUUCAUCCUUCUCCUCUCUGUAUCUUUUCUGGUCCCUCCAAACUUUGGAUUACACAUGGCAUUAUGUCACCAUUAGCUCACUGCUGACUGGCACAGUUCUUCGGUGUUUCCCUUUAUACAUUUUGGAAACGAAGAUGCCAAACGGCUUAACUCACCCUUUCAGAGCUACACGAUGUGUCAUAUGCUAGAUUAUAAGUCUUCUGGCCGUUCAUCUUGGUGCCAAUUUUCAAGCUUCUCACCUGGGGGCAGGGCCAGGGUAGGGGCACAGUGGUAUGAAAUGUAGGUGCUUAGGCAAAGGAGAUGCCUAAGUGGUUGGGAUGAGAAAUUACCCAGGAGAGAUCCUCAGACAUCUCUAGUGCAGGCAUAGCUGCAAAGCAUUGUAAGAUAAUGGGCACAAAUGGGGUAGAACAGUGCUGAGUUGUAAUGCUGUCGAAUACUGUGGGUGCAACACAGUCUCCAGACUCCGUUUGUAAAAGACAAGACCAGGCACAUAGGAAAGUUGUGUUAGCUGUAAAAGAACAAACAAACAUUUGAAAGGUUGAUGAAUCACUGCACAUUCGUUCAUCUCCCUUAUACGAUAUCAAAUCUCAGAAAGGCAGCUGUUCACAUUUUCGGGUGCCUGGUAAAUCUUCUCAAGCGGCUGAGGAUUCAAUAUCAUGCAUAUGACAAAAUUAGGCAAGUCAACUGUGUGUUACAUGAGUGGCUCAUUUCGCCUGAUGUUCUAUUGCAUUUGCAGCUGCAGCUGCGUCUCAGACACGUAACAUUAACUGAUGUUCAUAAUGAUAACACUGAGUCAUUAAGAAAACCUGUAUUAUGUCUGGUACAGUAGACUUGAGAAGUAGAGAGAUGCAGUGGAGAAAGAACUAAGAUUCAGGAGUUCCUGCUUAAUUGCAGACGUGGAGAGAGGUGAGCUGCUUAUGCCUUUGCCCUUCAGCAACGGGAUUCCUGUGAGGCAGGCACAGUGAUACCCAUUCUACAGCUGAGAAAACAUGUUUAGAUGUGUUAGUAAAUUGUACAGAAUCCGGUUAGGAACGCAAAUCCAUCUUACUCCAGAACUUGCGUUCUCUCCUUACACCACCAAAUUUGCUGGGUGUUUUCGUUUGUUUGUUUGUUUUUGUUUUUGGUAGAGUCUAACAUGUGGCACAGAUGAUGUUAUCUACAAAACGGAAACAGAUCAUGGCCAAGGAGAGUACAUUUGUAGUUCCCAGGGGGGACAGCGGAGGGAGUGGAAUGGGCGGGCAGUUCCAGGUUUUUGGAUGCAAACUCUUAUAUUUGAAAUGGAUGAGCAAUGGGACCCUACAGGACAGCACAGCACAGGGAAAUGUGUGUGCCCGGGGUCACAUUGUUGUACAACAGAAAUUGAAGAAAUGUAAAUCAAUUACACUU